CGUGGGGAACCUGCCCCAUAGUCUGGGAUACCACUUGGAAACAGGUGCUAAUACCGGAUAAGAAAGCGGAUCGCAUGAUCAGCUUUUAAAAGGCGGCGUAAGCUGUCGCUAUGGGAUGGCCCCGCGGUGCAUUAGCUAGUUGGUAAGGUAAAGGCUUAGCAAGGCGAUGAUGCAUAGCCGAGUUGAGAGACUGAUCGGCCACAUUGGGACUGAGACACGGCCCAAACUCCUACGGGAGGCAGCAGCC
rnacentral:rRNA from 1 species